ACAGCGGCCCGGCCCCGCCCCCACGGAGCCCCAGAACGCUCCCAGCCGAACCUCCCCGCCCCCCCUCCCCCCCGUCUUAGCCGCGGCCACACCCCCUUUCUGGAAGGGAAUGGAGGCGGCUUUCAGCAGCUGCCAAGGUCCCUGAGGGCGGUCGCGGCAGGGGAGGAUCAAGGAAAGACUUGUUUAUUAUAGGGUCGCGUUGCUGGGGGGGGGAGGGGACAGCCCACGGCUGCACUGCACUGGGACGAAGAGUUAGGGGACCCGGAGCGGCGAUGAACAAGGGGAGACAGGUACCCCCGAUGUCUAGGAGCCCGAGGGCCAAGGGACCAGUACCGGGCACACAAGUGGAUGCCCGUGGGACCCUGGCGCGGCGACAGACGUUACCCCGCUGUCCCGCGAGCAUCACCAACGGGAUGUACAUUUUGGUGAUAGGUCCAAAGACAAGGCCACUCGGGGCCCGGCGGCCUCCACGUACCCCAUCAGUCUUCCUGUUACCGUACAGCCCCCCCGGGGGAUGUGUUUUUGAGGACAUCAGUGCUCCCCAUCCCACCCACCCCCCGGUGCGAGGUUGUCCUCCAAGCUGAGGGUUUGGGUGGGGGUUAGAGUUCACGGGCUCGGAUUCAGAGCGCCUGAUCCACGGCCAGGGAACAAGGACUCACGUCAAACCGACACGCUGACCCACCCGCAGGCCUUAGGGACAGACCACUGCGGAGCCUGUGCCUUCCCAGCCCGCUGCGGCAGAGCCCCUGGCGUCCGCCGGGUCCUAGAAUCCCUCGCACGCUUUGUGUUAAAUAAAAAAGAGGAGAGAGAGAGAGACUCAUAGAGAGUUCAAUGGAACCCAGGACGGAGAUCUUCGGGAAAGCCCGAGUGCAACAGCCAUCAGGGGUUUCAUCAUUCAGGCGGGGCAACAGGAAAUCUGGCCUGGCAGCGAUGCUUGAGGGUUAAUGGUGAUUGCUUAGGGUGGGAGGAGAUUCAGACGGACUGGACUUUUUUUUUUUUUUUCCCCUAAGUUUUUUUCAGUGUAGAACACCUGGACCCUGAUGGAAGAAAAACCAAACUUACAUCAGACACUUUGGCCCGGAGGGCAGGAACCAAACCAGAUCAGACGGGCGGGUAUCAGAUCGCUGCAGGGCAGGUUUGCUUGUGACACAUGACACUUGCCCGGGAAGUCAGGCCACUGUCCUUUCCAGCCCCACCUCCCACCCCCCAGUUUUAUCUUUUGACAGUCUCACAGCUGGCCAGCCUGGAACUCACUCUAUAGACCGGGUUGGCCUUGAACUCACAGCGAUUGAUCUGCCUUUGCCUCCCAAGUGCUACAAUUAAAGGCGUGAACCACGUGAACCAUGCUCCUACCGCCGAUAUUUUAAAAAUUAAAAAAGACUGACUUUUAGAACAGCCAGGUCUUAUAACUGCAAAAGGAAUGGAAUCCAGUCUCCCACACUCACUCUGAUUUUCCAGGUGGGAGAACCCCUGCUUCAGAACACAUUUAUGAACCAACACCCCCAAGGAGGUGGGAUGGGCUCAGAUCAGGAGACACCGUUUUAAAGACAGCUGCAGAAAAAAAGUACUGUGUUUGCCUCCAGGGCUUCCAGGCCUAACCCAUGGCUUUCUUUCCUGACAUUCAGAUCUGCCACUUUGCUAGGAGACAUCGGAUGGGGCGGUGAGAUGAAAUGCUUCUGCAGGAGAAGGUGACAUCAUCGUGUAAUGUCUUUCACGGAGUGGGAGAGAGUGGAGGGCCUGUGUGAGGGAAUCUUCCCGCUGCCAGGGAGAAAGGAGAAAGAAAUCAAUUGACCAGCAAAGCACCCAUUCCGCCUACUAGGCUGAGCCCAUUGGAGAUAGACUAUGGAUGCUUUUUCUUCACCAUUUUUUUUUCCUAUGCUGGGGAUGAACCCGGUGCUUCAGGCAUGCUAGGCACAGCUCCGCCACUAGGCUGCAUCGCCAGCCUCCCCUCCCCCCUCCUCUCCUCUCUAUUACAUUUUUUUUUGGUAGAAAAAAAAUACUUCAGAAAAAUAUGACGCAUUGGCCUAGGAAAAAUAGUUUUUCUUGAAAGUGAAUAUUAAUAAGCAAAAGAAUCCCUGACCAGUUUGGAAAGAGGUUUAUUAGAAUUCAAUCAUUCAUCCAACAGACAACAUCAUGGACUAUGUAAGCUUCCCGUACCCCCCCCCCUUUUUCAGUUUGGUGUCUCUUUAUUUUUUGAAGCAGGGUCUCAUGUACCUCAGGCUGGCCUAGAACUUGAUAUGACCUCUUGAAUUUCCCCAAGUGCUGGGACUACAGGUAUGCAUCACGAAGCCUGGUCUGAGCUACACCGGGGGUCAGACUGAACCCAGUGUUUUGUGCAUACUAGGCAAGCACUAUGACUAAGCCACAUCCAGCCUCCAUCAGUGAAUCUUUCUGUUCAUGAAAGAGCUUCCCUCACAUGGGAAAGGGUUGUUUUCAGAGGCACUGGAUAAUUCUGUGGAUUUCUGUUGUUUUCCCCAAAAAGCACUCUAUCUAGGGCCUGGGAUAUUGGUUGAUAGAGUGGCAGCCGAACACACGGGAAGCCCUGGGUUCCAUCCCCACAGGGAAAAAAAUCCACACAAGUCAGGUGUGUGAUGCACCUCAGGAGGUGGAAGCCAGAAUAUCAGAAGUUCAAGCUCAUACCAAGCCACGCAGAGAAUUCAAGACCUUAUCUUUUUUGGUUUGUUUUGUUUUUUGAGACAGGGUUUCUUUGUGUAGCCUUGGCUGUCCUGGAACUAGCUCUGUAAACUGGACUGGACUUGAACUCACAGAGAUCCACCUGCUUCUGCUUCUGGGGUGCUGAGGUUAAAGACUAGGAGAGGAUGGAUAAACAGACUCCUCUACAAGGAGGCCUGACAGAGGCCUGGACUGGACACCUACUUGAAGCAAAGACCCAGACAGCCUGACCGCCUUGGUGCGACCCUCCCAACUUUUCAGCUCCCACCCCAGGGACGCAGCGAGGCUUGGAACUCCAGGACAGUGUCUCUUUUCUCCUGCACCCGUCCACCCCAAUGGCUCUCAUUACCCAACUUUCUGCCGGCUUUGAAGGACUCCUCUGCCAUCCUGGGUCUGAAACACUUACGAAGAAAGAAAAUGAUGGCGUUGGGAGGGCUAGGCAGCCCCUUCCCUAGUUAGUCCCAAAAGACAGGCUACAUAACUCUCCAUUUCCUGCAGUCAGUGGAGGUCCUAUGGAGUAAUGGACCAGGAGUGCAGCUACCCUGAUUUCAAGGCUGUUUGGCUGCUAAGGACGAUGGGAGUUGUUUUGGGUAUAUCCUUGGUACAGAUCCCAGGAGGCAUAAUAUGACUUUGUUAUAAAUGAUACAACAUUGCACUCUGGUAUAUAGUUGAUCUGUGUUAAUAUAAAAAUAA